rfam:Stegodyphus mimosarum contig13113, whole genome shotgun sequence.
GCCUUCGUGGUGUAACGGUUAGCCCACUCGGCGCGAAUUCGAGAGGUCCAGGUUCGAGUCCCGGCGAGGGUA